rfam:Bacillus sp. FJAT-21945 super19, whole genome shotgun sequence.
GAGAGAUUUGCUCCGCACAAAUGUAUACGAUGAAGCAUUGUGUCAGGAGC